GGAAAUUCAUGUAUUCUGCAGGUUCUUGACCGCGGUGAGAAGAUUGAGCUGUUAGUGGACAAAACUGAUAAUCUUCGCUCGCAGGCCCAAGAUUUCAGGACACAGGGAACAAAAAUGAAAAGGAAGAUGUGGUUUCAGAAUAUGAAGAUAAAAUUGAUUGUUGUGGGGAUCAUCAUUCUCAUAGGCUUUGUGAUAUUUUUGUCAUGCGGCAUUGGUAAAUUGCUCUCUCUUUGAGUUGCUUACCUUGUUAGGUUAUGCCCGCCCUGUUUUGCCAGCCAUUUUAGGAUGGGGGGUGGGGGAAGGUUUUGUAUGUUUUUUUCCGCACUGGUUGUUGUAUAGUUUAUAUAUUUGUCCUUGUCUUGUCUAGGGUAGAUAAAAUCAAUCACUAUCAUAUAUGUGCUCCAUGUAAUGUAAUGGAUCCUUAAUUAGCUUAAGAUGUAAUGGAGGAAUGCUUGGAUGAUUGUAAA